rnacentral:rRNA from 1 species
AUGGCUCAGGAUGAACGCUAGCGACAGGCUAACACAUGCAAGUCGAGAGGCAGCAUAAAAGUAGCAAUACUUGGUGGCGACCGGCGCACGGGUGAGUAACGCGUAUGCAACCUACCUAUCAGAGGGGAAUAACCCGGCGAAAGUCGGACUAAUACCGCAUAAAACAGGGGCACCGCAUGGUGAUAUUUGUUAAAGAAAUUCGCUGAUAGAUGGGCAUGCGUUCCAUUAGGUAGUUGGUGAGGUAACGGCUCACCAAGCCGACGAUGGAUAGGGGAACUGAGAGGUUGGUCCCCCACACUGGUACUGAGACACGGACCAGACUCCUACGGGAGGCAGCAGUGAGGAAUAUUGGUCAAUGGGCGGGAGCCUGAACCAGCCAAGUCGCGUGAAGGAAGAAGGAUCUAUGGUUCGUAAACUUCUUUUGCAGGGGAAUAAAGUGCAGGACGUGUCCUGUUUUGUAUGUACCCUGAGAAUAAGGAUCGGCUAACUCCGUGCCAGCCGCCGC